rnacentral:rRNA from 1 species
UACGUAGGGGGCAAGCGUUGUCCGGAAUCAUUGGGCGUAAAGCGCGUGUAGGCGGCUCGAUAAGUCUGCUGUGAAAGUCCAGGGCUCAACCCUGGAAUGCCGGUGGAAACUGCCGGGCUGGAGUCCGGAAGAGGCGAGUGGAAUUCCUGGUGUAGCGGUGAAAUGCGCAGAUAUCAGGAGGAACACCAAUGGCGAAGGCAGCUCGCUGGGACGGUACUGACGCUGAGACGCGAAAGCGUGGGGAGCAAACAGG